AGAGUUUGAUUAUGGCUCAGAUUGAACGCUGGCGGCAUGCCUUACACAUGCAAGUCGAACGGCAGCACGGGAGCAAUCCUGGUGGCGAGUGGCGAACGGGUGAGUAAUACAUCGGAACGUGCCCUGUAGUGGGGGAUAACUAGUCGAAAGACUAGCUAAUACCGCAUACGACCUGAGGGUGAAAGUGGGGGACCGCAAGGCCUCAUGCUAUAGGAGCGGCCGAUGUCUGAUUAGCUAGUUGGUGGGGUAAAGGCCUACCAAGGCGACGAUCAGUAGCUGGUCUGAGAGGACGAUCAGCCACACUGGGACUGAGACACGGCCCAGACUCCUACGGGAGGCAGCAGUGGGGAAUUUUGGACAAUGGGGGCAACCCUGAUCCAGCAAUGCCGCGUGUGUGAAGAAGGCCUUCGGGUUGUAAAGCACUUUUGUCCGGGAAGAAAUCGCACCUGAUAAUACCGGGUGUGGAUGACGGUACCGGAAGAAUAAGGACCGGCUAACUACGUGCCAGCAGCCGCGGUAAUACGUAGGGUCCAAGCGUUAAUCGGAAUUACUGGGCGUAAAGCGUGCGCAGGCGGUUGUGCAAGACCGAUGUGAAAUCCCCGGGCUUAACCUGGGAAUUGCAUUGGUGACUGCACGGCUAGAGUGUGUCAGAGGGGGGUAGAAUUCCACGUGUAGCAGUGAAAUGCGUAGAGAUGUGGAGGAAUACCGAUGGCGAAGGCAGCCCCCUGGGAUAACACUGACGCUCAUGCACGAAAGCGUGGGGAGCAAACAGGAUUAGAUACCCUGGUAGUCCACGCCCUAAACGAUGUCAACUAGUUGUUGGGGAUUCAUUUCCUUAGUAACGUAGCUAACGCGUGAAGUUGACCGCCUGGGGAGUACGGUCGCAAGAUUAAAACUCAAAUGAAUUGACGGGG
rnacentral:rRNA from 1 species